CUGAACUGAAACAUCUAAGUAGGACGAGGAAAAGAAAUCAACCGAGAUUCCGUAAGUAGUGGCGAGCGAACACGGAAGAGGCCAAACCGAAGGUAGCAAUAUCUUCGGGGUACGGACAGUAAACGGCAUUGCGGUAUCUUAGCAGAAGUGCAUGGGACGGCACACCAUAGAGAGUGAUAGUCUCGUAAGCGAAAAGAGAAGGCAGCCAACUGUAUCCAGAGUACCGCCGGACACGUGAAACCCGGUGGGAACAUGGGGGGACCAUCCUCCAAGCCUAAAUACUCCCUGGUGACCGAUAGAGAACAGUACUGUGAAGGAAAGGUGAAAAGAACCCCGGGAGGGGAGUGAAAAGAACCUGAAACCUUAUGCUUACAAGCACCGAGAGCCCAUCAAAGGGUGAUCGGGUACCUUUUGUAGAAUGGUCCGGCGAGUGAAUGUAACUGGCAAGGUUAAGCACUUAAGGUGUGGAGCCGAAGCGAAAGCAAGUCUUAAUAGGGCGUCAAGUCAGUUGUAUUCGACCCGAAACCGUGUGACCUAGCCAUGAGCAGGCUGAAGUGGAGGUAAAACUCCAUGGAGGGCCGAACCCACUCCCGUUGAAAUGGUAGGGGAUGACUUGUGGCUAGCGGAGAAAUUCCAAUCGAACUCGGAGAUAGCUGGUUCUCUCCGAAAUAGCUUUAGGGCUAGCCUCGAUUUAACAUUACCGGAGGUAAAGCACUGAAUGGGCUAGGGGCCGAGAGGUUACUGAACCCUAUCAAACUAAGAAUGCCGGAUAAUGAUAAUCGGGAGUCAGACAGUGUGAGAUAAGUUUCAUUGUCAAAAGGGAAACAGCCCAGACCCACAGCUAAGGUCCCAAAGUACAGUUAAGUGGUGAAGGAUGUGGAAUUGCAUAGACAACCAGGAUGUUGGCUUAGAAGCAGCCACUCAUUAAAAGAGUGCGUAAUAGCUCACUGGUCGAGUGAUUCUGCGCCGAAAAUUUAACGGGGCUAAAUUGUACACCGAAGCUUGGGAUACAUCUAAUGUAUGGUAGGAGAGCGUUGUAUACGGGGUGAAGUCAGAGCGGAAGCGCUGGUGGACUGUAUACAAGUGAGAAUGCCGGAAUGAGUAGCGAGAAUUAUGUGAGAAUCAUAAUGGCCGAAAGACUAAGGUUUUAGAAGGAAGGUUCGUCCGCUUCUAGUCAGCCGGGAGCUAAGGCGAGGCCGAAAGGCGUAGUCGAUGCACAUACGGUGGAGAUUCCGUAGCCGCCAUUAAUUUAAACAGAGGGACACUUUCAAGGGGCAUGACCCGGGCGUUGGUAGACCCGGGCGUAAGGGACCGAAGAUUAGUAGGGAAGCAUGCUUUAAGGAAGGCGAGAAAAGCUCUGUGUAUAGAAGAUGGCGCCCGUACCGCAAACCGACACAGGUAGUCAGGAAGAAGAUUCUAAGGCCAACGGGAGAAGGGUAGUUAAGGAACUCGGCAAAUUGACCCCGUAACUUCGGAAUAAGGGGUGCUCACGAGAGUGAGCCGCAGUGAAUAGGUCCAGGCGACUGUUUAUCAAAAACACAGCUCUCUGCUAAAUCGAAAGAUGACGUAUAGGGGGUGACACCUGCCCGGUGCUGGAAGGUUAAGAGGAAGGGUGCAAGCUCUGAAUUGAAGCCCCAGUAAACGGCGGCCGUAACUAUAACGGUCCUAAGGUAGCGAAAUUCCUUGUCGGGUAAGUUCCGACCCGCACGAAUGGUGUAACGAUCUGGACACUGUCUCAACUACCCACCCGGCGAAAUUGUAGUACCGGUGAAGAUGCCGGUUACCCGCGGCAAGACGGAAAGACCCCAUGGAGCUUUACUGUAACCUGAUAUUGGGUUUCGGUAUUUUAUGUACAGGAUAGGUGGGAGACUAUGAAACUAAGGCGCCAGCCUUAGCGGAGUCGCCCUUGGGAUACCACUCUUAAAGUACUGAAAUUCUAACCUGCGGCCGUGAAUCCGGUCGGGGGACAUUGUUAGGCGGGCAGUUUGACUGGGGCGGUCGCCUCCAAAAGAGUAACGGAGGCGCUCAAAGGUUCGCUCAGCAUGGUCGGAAACCAUGCCUUAGAGUGUAAACGCAAAAGCGAGCCUAACUGCGAGGCUGACGGGCCGAGCAGUAACGAAAGUUGGAGUUAGUGAUCCGGCGGUAUGU
rnacentral:rRNA from 1 species